rnacentral:rRNA from 1 species
CCUACGGGUGACAGCAGUGAGGAAUAUUGGUCAAUGGACGAGAGUCUGAACCAGCCAAGUAGCGUGAAGGAUGACUGCCCUAUGGGUUGUAAACUUCUUUUAUAAAGGAAUACAACGAGGCACGUGUGCCUUUUUGCAUGUACUUUAUGAAUAAGGAUCGGCUAACUCCGUGCCAGCAGCCGCGGUAAUACGGAGGAUCCGAGCGUUAUCCGGAUUUAUUGGGGUGAAAGGGAGCGUAGAUGGGUUGGUAAGUCAGUUGUGAAAGUUUGCGGCUCAAACGUAAAAUUGCAAUUGAUACUGGCAGUCUAGAGUACAGUUGAGGUAGGCGGAAUUCGUGGUGUAGCGGUGAAAUGCUUAGAUAUCACGAAGAACCCCGAUUGCGAAGGCAGCUUACUAAACUGUGACUGACAUUGAUGCUCGAAAGUGUGGGUAUCAAACAGGAUUAGAUACCCGAGUAGUC